rnacentral:misc_RNA from 1 species
UUUCCGUAGGUGAACCUGCGGAAGGAUCAUUACUGAGUGAGGGACCUCUGGGUCCUACCUCCCACCCGUGUUUAUUGUACCUUGUUGCUUCGGUGAGCCCGCCUCACGGCCGCCGGGGGGCAUCUGCCCCCGGGCCCGCGCUCACCGAACACACCCUUGAACUCUGUCUGAAGGAUGCAGUCUGGUCGAAAACUAAAUAAGUUAAAACUUUCAACAACGGAUCUCUUGGUUCCG